rnacentral:rRNA from 1 species
GAUGAACGCUGGCGGCGUGCCUAAUACAUGCAAGUCGAGCGAACGGACGAGAAGCUUGCUUCUCUGAUGUUAGCGGCGGACGGGUGAGUAACACGUGGAUAACCUACCUAUAAGACUGGGAUAACUUCGGGAAACCGGAGCUAAUACCGGAUAAUAUUUUGAACCGCAUGGUUCAAAAGUGAAAGACGGUCUUGCUUUCACUUAUAGAUGGAUCCGCGCUGCAUUAGCUAGUUGGUAAGGUAACGGCUUACCAAGGCAACGAUGCAUAGCCGACCUGAGAGGGUGAUCGGCCACACUGGAACUGAGACACGGUCCAGACUCCUACGGGAGGCAGCAGUAGGGAAUCUUCCGCAAUGGGCGAAAGCCUGACGGAGCAACGCCGCGUGAGUGAUGAAGGUCUUCUGAUCGUAAAACUCUGUUAUUAGGGAAGAACAUAUGUGUAAGUAACUGUGCACAUCUUGACGGUACCUAAUCAGAAAGCCACGGCUAACUACGUG